AUGUGGGCCUGGGAGUCUCGUUGUGAAGGCCAUCCAAGACAAACUCGGCAUUUGUUUAAACAUACUGCCCUGAAUUUGAACCCUCCAGCGGGAUACCUGCUCCAGGAGAUGGAUUCAGACACGGCCCAUUCUUCCUGCGUGCGGCUAAGCAAGCCAGGAGGAAGGGACCGAUGGCUCCUCGGGGGUGGAUGCGGUGAGAACCAGGUGGUGCAGCACAUCCCUCUGGGUCCUGUGCAGCCAGUGAUUUCAUCAGCCUGUGCAUUAAGCGGCAACACCGCACGAGGGGACAGAAGCUCUCGGGGCUCCUGGGGGCCUGUACCCCGGAUGGGCUCUUCAGAAGGAGUUCAGGGCCACUGUAGGACCCAGCACUGUCUUGAGCUCCCUGAUUCCAAGUGGAAAUGGUCCAGCAGAGGAGCCUCAGCUUUUCCAUCAUUGACAAAGGGAUUGGAGGAGAAGGUGACAAGAAGAAGAACGCACUGGAAGCUGAGAAUCAGGCUCUUGAAAGCCCCGAGGCCACCCCAGCCUCAGGCGGGUGAUGUCAACUGGAUCAUUCCUUCAUUCACUAUUCAAUGAAUGUUUAUUGAGGACCUACUAUGAGCCAAGCAUGUUCUACUUCUAGGUCUGAGAUAGACCUCGAACUUUCAGACCACCAGAUAAUACAUAAGUAGGAAAUGUAAUAAAUAAAUUAAAAAAUUCCA
rnacentral:lncRNA from 1 species